GGAGAUGUGGCUCAAUUGGUAGAGCAUUUGCCUGAGAAGCACAAGGCUCAGAGUUCACUCUCCAGUACUA
rnacentral:tRNA from 1 species